rnacentral:rRNA from 1 species
CCCUUAGAUGUUCUGGGCCGCACACGCGCUACACUGAAGGAGGCAGCGUGUACUCCUGGAUCGAAAGAUUUGGGUAACCCGCGAAUCUCCUUCGUGCUAGGGAUUGAGGUUUGCAAUUAUCCUUCAUGAACGAGGAAUUCCCAGUAAGUGCAAGUCAUAAGCUUGCGCUGACUACGUCCCUGCCCUUUGUACACACCGCCCGUCGCUACUACCGAUUGAAUGAUUUAGUGAGGACUUCGGACUGGGACCGAUGCGGCUUUCGGGCUGCGUCGGUAUUCUGGAAAGAUGUCCAAACUGUAUCAUUUAGAGGAAGUAAAAGUCGUAAC